UACGUAGGGGGCAAGCGUUGUCCGGAAUCAUUGGGCGUAAAGCGCGUGUAGGCGGUUCAGUAAGUCUGCUGUGAAAGUCCAGGGCUCAACCCUGGGAUGCCGGUGGAUACUGCUGGGCUAGAGUACGGAAGAGGCGAGUGGAAUUCCCGGUGUAGCGGUGAAAUGCGCAGAUAUCGGGAGGAACACCAAUUGUGAAGGCAGCUCGCUGGGACGUCACUGACGCUGAGACGCGAAAGCGUGGGGAGCAAACAGG
rnacentral:rRNA from 1 species